CACUUUUAUUGAAGUCAUGUUUUUUCCUUUGGUGUGUGCUUAUAGACACCUCCUAACAUCUUUUAAAUCAUUCUUGCAUCAAAAAUUCGUGUCUUUUGUCAUUUUUACUCACGAUCGAGCUUAAACGAUUCAUGCGUACCGCGUUUCGUAAUGCUAUUAAAACUAUUUUAAGAGCUAUUGAGUUUAUUUCCAAGCUUGUGUUGCCUUUAGUUCUUCUCAUACCGGACCUCAGGAAGCUCAAUUUUCAAAAAAAAAGUGGUAUAAUCUCUCCCUUCAGGUUUUGCCCUAUUUGAGCCAAAACCUCUUACGUACUUAUCCUCUUACUAUUUGAGCCAAAACCUCUUACUAUAAAAAUGUGGUAUAAUCUCUCCCUUCAAGUUUUUGAGAAAUUUCAUUUUUUUAGACCCCAUGUUUUUUCCAUUUGUGUGUUCAUAUUGACACCUCUUAAUAUUUUUUUAGCCAUUCUAGCAUAAAAAAUUCGUGUUUUUUGUCAUUUUCACUCACGAGAUCAAGCUUAACGACUCACGUGUAUAGUGUUUCAUAAAGCUUUUAAAACUGUUGUUUUUAGAGCUAUUGAGUUCAUUUUCAAGCUUGUGUUGUCUUCACUUCUUUUCAUACCGCCCUCAUGAACCUCAAUUUUCAAAAUAAAAAUAAAAAUGAGGUAUUCCCUCCAAGUUUCACCAAAUUUGAGUCAAACCCCUUGCUUCACGCGUUUUUAAGAAAUUUCAUUGUUUUUGGACUCCUAGUUUUUCUGUUUCGUGUGUGCUGAUAAACAACUACUAACAUCUUUUAAAACAUUCUAGCAUAAAAAAUUCUUGUCUUUUGUCAUUUUUACUUACAAUCGAGUUUCAAAGAUUCAAGGGUACUGUGUUUCGUAAAGCUAUUGAAACUGUUGUUUUCAUAGCUAUUAUGUUUAUUUCCAAGCUUGUGUUGUCUUCAAUUCUUCUCAUACCGACCUCAGGAACCUCAAUUUUUAAUAAAAUGAGGUAUAACCCUCCCUUCAACUUUAACCCAAUUUGAGCCAAAACACCUAGCUAUAUGUGACGAAUCAAAAAUUUUAUUAAGUAUCUAAAAUAAUUUUCUGCUUACUCUAAUUUGCUGGUUUACUAUAAAUGUUUAUAGGUAUAAUUGUGAUUCUAUAUAUGUGUGUUCUUUGUUUGAUUUAUUUAGUUAGGAAAAUUAUCCUUAGCUAGCUCAUAAAUUAGAACUUAGCCCAACACCAUUUGACCCAACCCGAGCCCAAACUUAAUAACCUUUCUUUUACCAGAUGGAAGAACAAGAACACGCGACAUGAACUCAAACCUUUGUUUUUCCUGUUCAUUGUCUUCCUCUCAACUCAGAACAUUCUUGAUUUGAAUCCUUGAUCAAACUCAACAGAAAUCUUGCUAAGCCGCCCUUAAACCCAGAAAAUAUCUUAGGAAAAUCUUAAAUAUUAGCAACCGACCUUGCCAAGCAGGAGGUGUCAAAUUCUCAAAGCUCGAUCGAUGACUCCUUCAAGCUAUUUUUGCAGGAGCUGGAACCCUAGGAGCCUAGAGGUGGCUGGUCUAGGAGCCAAACAGGUAAGUACUCAGUUGAACAAAUCGAUUUUGCUUUCGGUGUUCAUAUCUUAGGGAUUAAGUUCCUAGACUCUAUAAAUAGCUGUGAUCAGUAUUUUGGAGAUAAGUCUUCUAGCAAUCCCCAUACUUAGAGUGAGGGAGAGAUACCUUGGUGUAGGAAAUCAGGUGUGAUUCUAUUUUGGUUUGUUUGUGAAAUUAGAUUGAGAUCACUUUGAGACUUGUGUAUAAUUGUUUCUUUGAUUUGAAAAGUUGUAAUUGAGCAUUGGUUCGGAUUUUGUUGUUGUGAAAAGCUGUGUGUGGUAAGCAUGAUCAUUGAUUGGUUAGCCAAAUCAGUUCUAUAUUGUAAGAAAUCGAGUUAUGCAGUGGUUGUUGUUGUUAGGAUCCCAGGUCUUGGAAACUUGCCUUAAAAUUUGAGAUAGACUUAUAUCAGCAAAUUUUUUAAAAACAAAAAAACUAGAGCUGUAUCUGAAAUUCGAAAUUCAAUAAGUAAUUGUAGAAAAAUCCUUUUUGUGUGAUUCCAGUUCCAGAUUGUUCUUUUGGAUGUCUAUAUCAAAUGUUGUGAAGAUACCAUCUUUAAAUUCCCAGCCAAACUGUGUUGUUUUUGGCCCGAAAGUUUACUGGACAGAAAUUCAAGAAGUUAUCUUGUGAUAUCAGAAUUUUGUUGUUUUCAGUUGCACUUUUUCUUUCUUUGUAAUCUUUGUUGUUAUACAAUCAUAGAUGUAUUGAAUUUAGAAUAUCAUGUUUGUGAUUUGUUUAUGAAAUCAAAGGUAAAAACUAAAAGUUGAGGAUGCUUAAAACUAGCUAUAAGAUUUAGAACCACUUGUAUUGCUUCUUUGAGUAGUAGUUUUAUGUGAUGCUUGAGUAGGUUCCUUUACACUAAAAGUCUGUGAUUUUCUGUUUGUUUAACACCAAAAUGUCUAUAAUAUGUAUCUAGCUAGAAGUAUAGUUCUGCAUAUAGUUCAUGGUUUUAUUUUCAGAUACUUUAAAUAGGCUUCUAGCAGAAAUUUUCCAGAAAAAAACUCAAAACUGAAGCUGAACUUUGGAAAUUCAUAACUAAUUCUAGAAAAAUCGUUUUGGGGUGAUUCCAACUCUCAUAGUUUCUUCGGUUUGCCUGCAAUAAGUCAUUAGAAGACCUCGAAGUCAAAUUAUGAACAGUUUUGUACAGUUUUCAGUCUGUUUGUAACUGGUACAGAAAAUCAUGUUUAAGUACAGAAAAGCAUGUUUUUGUAAAAUACUUGGUACUUUAUUUCUUGUUUCAGCAUUUUUAGCUUAAACUUUUGAACUAAUGAUUCAUCUUUUAUUAGGAGCUUCAAACUUGAAGUGAGAUCCGGCAGAGGUAGGAGGAAACUUGGGAAACCUCAAUACUUGCUUUAUAUUUUGUCAUGUGAAUUACUUCUUUUUGUGAAAUUGUUGUUUUCUUACUGCAUUAUGUUCAUAAUAUGGAGUGGUUUUUCAUUUGUGUCAUAAGGAAGUAUUAGUGCUAUGCAUAAAGCACUUUGGGUAAAGAAGUUAGAUUUUUUUACUUUUGUGUAGUUGAGUCCAUAUUCUUAGCAGGAACCAUAUCCCAUGUAUGCCCAUGUUGAUGCGCAAGUAGUAUAGGUUAUGAAAAAGGGUAAUUCGGGAUUGGCGAAAGGGGAAUGGGCAAGAGGACUAGCAAAAGGGGGUUAUGUGAGUGAGUGGGAGACAGUUCAUGUAAUUAAAUAGUCCAAGCCACCCUUGUGGUAAAAUACAUGGUAUGGGACAUGUAGGCUUAAAGUAUUUUGUUAUAUGAACUAUAUGGGGCAGAUUAUACAUAUGCAUACAUGUUGUCUCUUUUGACUGGUAUUGUAUUAUUUGAAAAGGUUUUGCCUCCUAUUGGGCUAUUUAUGCUCACCCCUUUAAAUAUUUUGCAGGUAAUAAACAAGUUGUUUGAAGUUGGUUUCUUGCAAGGAUGUUUCUUUUUAAUUUCCUGUAAAAUAUGUGUGCUGUUUGCUUUCUCUUAGAAUAAGAUGUAGACUUUCUUAAGUCUAUCUUUCUUACUUUUUAUAAUGAAGAAUAAAAUUUCAGUUGGUUAGUGUUGCGUUGUUCUUUUCCAAUUUUUUUUAUAUUUUGAUUAUGAAAAUUUUAUUCUAUAAUUGAAAUAUGAGUUACACCUCAAAAAAAAAAAAUUAAAAAAAAAAUGAGGUGUGACACUAUAACGAC
rnacentral:lncRNA from 1 species